UUACAGCCAUAUCGUGUUGAAGCAUUGGUUCCCAUAUGAUCACCGAAGUUAAGCAACGUCGAGCCUGGUCAGUAGAUAGUUGAAUGACCGCUUGGGAAUACCAGGUA